rnacentral:sRNA from 2 species
UGAAUACAGAAGCCGAAUUUCUUUCCGAAAACGGGGGAACCAUUUGUAGUAGUAAGGGGUGAAUUCGAUUCCAUUCAUGAGAGUGGAAUUGAUAGGGUACCUGUAAACCCGAAUCCGUCAGCUAACCUCGUAGGCUUUAUGGCAGGAACCU